rnacentral:rRNA from 1 species
ACGGGAGGCGCAGUCGGGAAUAUUGCGCAAUGGAGGAAACUCUGACGCUGUGACGCCGCGUAUAGGAAGAAGGUUUUAGGAUUGUAAACUAUUUUAGACAGGGAAGAGACAAGACAGUACCUGUAGAAUAAGCUCCGGCUAACUACGUGCCAGCAGCCGCGGUAAUACGUAGGGAGCAAGCGUUAUCCGGAAUUAUUGGGUGUAAAGGGUGCGUAGACGGGAAUAUAAGUUGGUUGUGAAAUCCCUCGGCUUAACUGAGGAACUGCAACCAAAACUGUGUUUCUUGAGUGCAGGAGAGGAAAGCGGAAUUCCUAGUGUAGCGGUGAAAUGCGUAGAUAUUAGGAGGAACACCAGUGGCGAAGGCGGCUUUCUGGACUGCAACUGACGUUGAGGCACGAAAGUGUGGGGAGCAAACAGGAUUAGAUACCCUGGUA